CGCAAUUUACAUUUAAAGCAUUUAAAUUUCAGUCUUUUAAAGCUUUCUAUGCAUGCUCUGCAGACUGAUCUGUAUCAGAUCUGCCAUAUAAAUUGUACGUUCCUCUGAGGCAAAGAGACCAGAUCUCGAUCCUCAGUUGUAAAAUCUUCUCUUCUCCCUCCAUUCCUUCAGAGCACCAUUUCCGGGAACCGGAUCUGGUACUGUGUUUGUACCCAAGCCUUUAGAUGUAUGUGUUGCUAGGCUUGCUAAAGAAUUUAAUAAAGAUUUGGUAAAUUGUUUAAAAUCUGACAACCGCGUUUAAAGAACUUAAUUAUUAUUUGGUAAAGCAAAAUUAAGUUGGUAUAUCGGCUGGAAACCCGAACGUGCGGGCUAUUGAUCUGUUCUAAGUCAGAUCUGGGUCCAAAGGUAGAUUCCCUUCUGCAUCGAUCUGGUUUAACAACGCCACGUACUAAUUUAAUAAAUAUAAAACCUGACCAACCGCGAUCCAAAGCAAAUCUACUUAAUCGAAAGUUGGUAACUGAAUUUAAAAUUUGAACAACCGCGAUCCAAUUUGUUUUUAUCUAAAGCAAUCAAUAAAGAAUUAUUUCGAAAACACAUCCAUCCUUCGAUCCUAUUAA
rnacentral:lncRNA from 1 species